AUACGGAGGGUGCGAGCGUUAAUCGGAAUUACUGGGCGUAAAGCGUGCGUAGGCGGUUUGCUAAGUCAGAUGUGAAAGCCCCGGGCUUAACCUGGGAACUGCAUUUGAUACUGGCAGACUAGAGUAUGAUAGAGGGGGGUAGAAUUCCUGGUGUAGCGGUGAAAUGCGUAGAUAUCAGGAGGAACACCAGUGGCGAAGGCGGCCCCCUGGAUCAAUACUGACGCUGAGGUACGAAAGCGUGGGGAGCGAACAGGAUUAGAAACCCUAGUAGUCC
rnacentral:rRNA from 1 species